rnacentral:rRNA from 1 species
AGCAGCCGCGGUAAUUCCAGCUCCAAUAGCGUAUAUUAAAGUUGUUGCAGUUAAAAAGCUCGUAGUUGAAUUUCGGGAUUAAUUUAUUGGUCGUGCUAUUGUACGUACUGGUAUUAUUGAUUCCUACCUUCUGACGAACCAUGAUGUCAUUAAUUUGGUGUCAUGGGGAAUCAGGACUGUUACUUUGAAAAAUUAGAGUGUUUAAAGCAAGCUCGCGCUUGAAUACAUUAGCAUGGAAUAAUGAAAUAGGACGUUUGAUUCUAUUUUGUUGGUUUCUAGGAUCGACGUAAUGAUUAAUAGGGAUAGUUGGGGGCAUUAGUAUUCAAUUGUCAGGGGUGAAAUUCUUGGAUUUAUUGAAGACUAACUACUGCGAAAGCAUUUGCCAAGGAUGUUUUCAAUUAAUACAAGAACGAAAGUUAGGGGAUCGAAGACGAUCAGAUACCGUCGUAGUCUU